rnacentral:rRNA from 1 species
AACGAACGCUGGCGGCAUGCCUAACACAUGCAAGUCGAACGAGACCUUCGGGUCUAGUGGCGCACGGGUGCGUAACGCGUGGGAAUCUGCCCUUCGGUUCGGAACAACAGUUAGAAAUGACUGCUAAUACCGGAUAAUGACGUAAGUCCAAAGAUUUAUCGCCGAAGGAUGAGCCCGCGUAAGAUUAGGUAGUUGGUGGGGUAAUAGCCUACCAAGCCGACGAUCUUUAGCUGGUCUGAGAGGAUGAUCAGCCACACUGGGACUGAGACACGGCCCAGACUCCUACGGGAGGCAGCAGUGGGGAAUAUUGGACAAUGGGCGAAAGCCUGAUCCAGCAAUGCCGCGUGAGUGAUGAAGGCCUUAGGGUUGUAAAGCUCUUUUACCAGGGAUGAUAAUGACAGUACCUGGAGAAUAAGCUCCGGCUAACUCCGUG